UACGGAAGGCAGCAGUGGGGAAUAUUGCACAAUGGGCGCAAGCCUGAUGCAGCCAUGCCGCGUGUAUGAAGAAGGCCUUCGGGUUGUAAAGUACUUUCAGUCGUGAGGAAGGUGUUAAGGUUAAUAACCUUAGCAAUUGACGUUAGCGACAGAAGAAGCACCGGCUAACUCCGUGCCAGCAGCCGCGGUAAUACGGAGGGUGCGAGCGUUAAUCGGAAUUACUGGGCGUAAAGGGCACGCAGGCGGUUAAUUAAGUUGGAUGUGAAAUCCCCGGGCUUAACCUGGGAAUGGCAUUCAAGACUGGUUUAGCUAGAGUCUUGUAGAGGGGGUAGAAUUCCGAUGUGUAGCGGUGAAAUGCGUAGAGAUGUGGAGGAAUACCGGUGGCGAAGGCGGCCCCUGGACAAAGACUGACGCUCAUGUGCGAAAGCGUGGGGAGCAAACAGGGAUUAGAUACC
rnacentral:rRNA from 1 species